rnacentral:rRNA from 1 species
AGAGUUUGAUCAUGGCUCAGGAUGAACGCUAGCUACAGGCUUAACACAUGCAAGUCGAGGGGCAGCAUGUUGGUUGCUUGCAACCAACGAUGGCGACCGGCGCACGGGUGAGUAACGCGUAUCCAACCUACCCUUGUCCAUCGGAUAACCCGUCGAAAGGCGGCCUAACACGAUAUGCGGUUCACAGCAGGCAUCUAACGUGAACGAGAUGUGAAGGAGAAGGAUGGGGAUGCGUCUGAUUAGCUUGUUGGCGGGGUAACGCCACAAGGCUACGAUCAGUAGGGGUCUGAGAGGAAGGUCCCCCANAUUGGAACUGAGACACGGUCCAAACUCUACGGGAGCA